rnacentral:rRNA from 1 species
AGUUUCGAGGUAGUGACGAGAAAUAACAAUACAGGGCAUUUUAUGCUCUGUAAUUGGAAUGAUGGGAAUGUAAAACCCUUCCAGAGUAACAAUUGGAGGGCAAGUCUGGUGCCAGCAGCCGCGGUAAUUCCAGCUCCAAUAGUGUAUAUUAGAGUUGUUGCAGUUAAAAAGCUCGUAGUUGGAUUUCUGUCGUGGUCAUCCGGCGCCGCCCGUAUGGGUGCGCGCGUGGUUUGCCCGCGGCUUAUUUCCGUAGCCUUCCGCGCUUAGCUGCGUGUGUUGGUGUUUCGGAACUUUUACUUUGAGAAAAAUAGAGUGUUUCAAGCAGGCUUGUCGCCCUGAAUACUUCAGCAUGGAAUAAUAAGAUAGGACCUUGGUUCUAUUUUGUUGGUUUCUAGGACCAAGGUAAUGAUUAAUAGGGACAGUUGGGGGCAUUCGUAUUUAACUGUCAGAGGUGAAAUUCUUAGAUUUGUUAAAGACGAACUACUGCGAAAGCAUUUGCCAAGGAUGUUUUCAUUAAUCAAGAACGACAG